AUUGACCGCUGGCGGCAGGCCUACCACAUGCAAGUCGAACGAGUGGCGGACGGGUGAGUAAUUUCUGGGAACCUGCCUGAUGGAGGGGGAUAACUACUGGAAACGGUAGCUACUACCGCAUAACACCAGAUUUUCCCAAUUGGGAUUAGCUUGUGGGUGGGGUAACGGCUCACCAAGGCGACGCUCCCUAGCUGGUCUGAGAGGAUGACCAGCCACACUGGAACUGGGACACGGUCCAGACUCCUACGGGAUGCAGCAGUGGGGAAUAUUGCACAAUGGGCGCAAGCCGGAUGCAGCCAUGCCGCGUGUAUGAAGAAGGCCUUCGGGUUGUAAAGUACUUUCAGCGGGGAGGCGUUACCCGCAGAAGAAGCACCGGCUAACUCCGUGCCAGCAGCCGCGGUAAUAC
rnacentral:rRNA from 1 species